rnacentral:lncRNA from 10 species
UUGGUAGUUGCUCUUUCAAAUGUAGAUUUUUGUGCCCAGUGGUGAAUUCUGCUCCCACAUGUUACCAAGGACUCUACUUGCAUGGGUUCCAGCACACACGGACUGGGCUCUUGGCCGCUUCUCCCCAGGACCCUCAGUACACAUAGGUAAGAAUGCUCUGUUCUUUCAGCUUGUCCCCCACCCCCUUUCAGGCUUCCAGCUUUACAUUUAUUUAUUCACUCAACAAAUAUUUGCUGAAGAUAUACCGUGUAUCUAUAUUGUACCACAGGCUAGGAUAAACAACAGUGAAGACAAAAAGCAAGACCCCUACCUUUAUGGAACUUAGUCCUAGUGAGGGAGAGGUUUUCCAUCCGCUAUUAUCUUCACCGUACCCUUUAGUUUAGCACACGAGUUAGUUUCUCUUGGCUUUGAUUUUGGCCUCCAUCUAGCCAUGUUGUCCUUGGUUUAGUGCAUUCUCAACAACUCUUGGGGUGACUCUCGUCUCACUCUGACAAGGCCCUGAAAUGAAUGUCCCUGUUCAUCCUAGUGAGCAGCCCCUGUCUUACCUGGUCUGGCCUCACUUGGGAGCCAGGACCUGGAGAGUAUAUAUGCAGAAACACCCAAUCAUUGGGAGUAAUUCAGAAUUAUCUAUAGGGUUAAAUAUAAAAAUCCAUUUGAGGUGGUAGAGAAAAAAGUACCAUUUUAAAACUUUGAAAUCAUUUCUGCUAAGACUCCAAGAUAGCUCAAUAUCUCAAAGAUUGAAAGCUAUACUGGAAGAAGAUGUUCCAUCUUAAAAAUGAAAUAGUUUACGUUCCUGAUGAGCUAUUAUAAUAAAUACGCAUAACAUUUGUCUUGGCAUCUUGAGAAAAGAGUGUUAUUGAAAUUGACUCGACAAAGAUUUGUGAUCAAAUUAUAAGAAGACUCAUUAAUCAAGUAUUGAUGGCUGCUAAACAUCUAAUUGCUUAUCACUGGAAAAGUUAUGUGGACAGUCUACAAAGAGCUUAAUAGAUAACUCAAUAUCAUGGCUGUUGAGAAAUUGCUUAUUCUUCUGUAUUGAAAUCUAAAUAUAUUUGUCACUUUUUUUUUUUUUUUACUAUCUGUCUCAUUUUUUAUUUGUAAAGAUUUU